UACGGGGGGGGCAAGCGUUGUUCGGAAUUACUGGGCGUAAAGGGCUCGUAGGCGGCCAACUAAGUCAGACGUGAAAUCCCUCGGCUUAACCGGGGAACUGCGUCUGAUACUGGAUGGCUUGAGUUUGGGAGAGGGAUGCGGAAUUCCAGGUGUAGCGGUGAAAUGCGUAGAUAUCUGGAGGAACACCGGUGGCGAAGGCGGCUCACUGGCCCGGAACUGACGCUGAGGUGCGAAAGCGUGGGGAGCAAACAGG
rnacentral:rRNA from 1 species